rnacentral:rRNA from 1 species
AGAUAGAGCGUUCCCCUUCGGGGCACCGAGUGACAGGUGCCGCAUGGUUGUCGUCAGCUCGUGUCGUGAGAUGUUGGGUUAAGUCCCGCAACGAGCGCAACCCUUGAUCUUAGUUGCCAGCAUUUAGUUGGGCACUCUAAGGUGACUGCCGGUGACAAACCGGAGGAAGGUGGGGAUGACGUCAAAUCAUCAUGCCCCUUAUGACCUGGGCUACACACGUGCUACAAUGGAUGGUACAAAGGGCUGCAAGACCGCGAGGUCAAGCCAAUCCCAUAAAACCAUUCUCAGUUCGGAUUGUAGGCUGCAACUCGCCUACAUGAAGCUGGAAUCGCUAGUAAUCGCGGAUCAGCAUGCCGCGGUGAAUACGUUCCCGGGCCUUGUACACACCGCCCGUCACACCACGAGAGUUUGUAACACCCGAAGUCGGUGGAGUAACCGUAAGGAGCUAGCCGCCU